rnacentral:lncRNA from 1 species
AAAGUUUUGGCCUUUGCGGCAUCGCACUCUUUCUUGUUUGUGUCUUCAAUGAUGAUGUGGUGAUCAGAUCUAAUAGUGACAUCUGUUUGUGCCUGUGCUCCAGUUGUUGUUUUUAAUCAAUCCAAGAUUGCGAAAGCUUUUCGAUCAAGAGUUUGGACACGAAUUCAUCCAGAAAGGCUAUGCUUUCAACUUUUAUAUCUUCAAGCAACUUGUGGUAUUCGUUUAUCUGGAUUUUGAUGUCUUUG